rnacentral:rRNA from 1 species
AAUCAACGCUGGCGGCGUGCCUCAGACAUGCAAGUCGAACGAUUAAAGCUCUCUUCGGAGAGUGUAUAGAGUGGCGCACGGGUGAGUAACACGUAAGUAAUCUACCUUUGAGUGGGGAAUAACCCGGGGAAACCCGAGCUAAUACCGCAUAAUGCAGCGGCAUCGCAAGAUGACAGUUGUUAAAGGAGCAAUCCGCUUAAAGAGGAGCUUGCGGCAGAUUGGCUAGUUGGUAAGGUAAUGGCUUACCAAGGCUACGAUCUGUAUCCGGUCUAAGAGGACGGUCGGACACACUGACACUGAAUAACGGGUCAGACUCCUACGGGAGGCAGCAGUCGGGAAUUUUGGGCAAUGGGCGAAAGCCUAGACCCAGCAACGCCGCGUGAAGGAUGAAGUAUUUCGGUAUGUAAACUUCGAAAGAAUAGGAAGAAUAAAU